rnacentral:snRNA from 10 species
AUACUUACCUGGCAAGGGAGAUACCAUGAUCAAGAAGGUGGGUUCACCCAUAGCGAGGCUCCAGCCAUUGCACUGAGGCUGUUGCUGACCCGUGCGAAUUCCCCAAAUGUGGGAAUCUCGAUUGCAUAAUUUCUGGUAGUGGGGGACUGCGUUCGCGCUCUCCCCUG